GAUGAACGCUGGCGGCGUGCCUAAUACAUGCAAGUCGAGCGAACAGACGAGGAGCUUGCUCCUCUGACGUUAGCGGCGGACGGGUGAGUAACACGUGGAUAACCUACCUAUAAGACUGGGAUAACUUCGGGAAACCGGAGCUAAUACCGGAUAAUAUAUUGAACCGCAUGGUUCAAUAGUGAAAGACGGUUUUGCUGUCACUUAUAGAUGGAUCCGCGCCGCAUUAGCUAGUUGGUAAGGUAACGGCUUACCAAGGCAACGAUGCGUAGCCGACCUGAGAGGGUGAUCGGCCAAAAUGGAACUGAGACACGGUCCAGACUCCUACGGGAGGCAGCAGUAGGGAAUCUGCCGCAAUGGGCGAAAGCCUGACGGAGCAACGCCGCGUGAGUGAUGAAGGUCUUCGGAUCGUAAAACUCUGUUAUUAGGGAAGAACAAAUGUGUAAGUAACUAUGCACGUCUUGACGGUACCUAAUCAGAAAGCCACGGCUAACUACGUG
rnacentral:rRNA from 1 species